rnacentral:rRNA from 1 species
GUGUCAGCAGCCGCGGUAAUACAGAGACCUCAAGCGUUAUCCGGAAUCAUUGGGCGUAAAGCGUACCGAUAGGUGGUUAUACAAGUCAGAAGUGAAAUCUCCGAGCUCAACUCGGAAUCUGUCUUUUGAAACUGUAUGACUAGAGGGGCAAAGAGGAAGCUGGAACGAACGGUGUAGUAGUGAAAUGCGUUGAUAUCGUUCGGAACACCAAUAGCGUAGGCAGGCUUCUGGGUGCCACCUGACACUGCUAGGACGAAAGCGUGGGGAGCGAAGGGGAUUAGAAACCCCUGUAGUCC